rnacentral:rRNA from 1 species
UACGUAGGGGGCAAGCGUUGUCCGGAAUCAUUGGGCGUAAAGCGCGUGUAGGCGGCCCGGUAAGUCCGCUGUGAAAGUCCAGGGCUCAACCCUGGAAAGCCGGUGGAUACUGUCGGGCUAGAGUCCGGAAGAGGCGAGUGGAAUUCCUGGUGUAGCGGUGAAAUGCGCAGAUAUCAGGAGGAACACCGAUGGCGAAGGCAGCUCGCUGGGACGGUACUGACGCUAAGACGCGAAAGCGUGGGGAGCGAACAGG